rnacentral:piRNA from 1 species
UAGUUAAAGGGACUUUGAGGUGUAUGACU